UGUACUGUGGCUUAGUUGGUUAAAACGCCGAUCUAGCCAAUACGGAAUCGUGGGUUCGAAUCUCACCGGAACGA
rnacentral:tRNA from 1 species